CCCAUUGUUUUGUUGUUACCGUGGUACUUCAAUUAGCUCUCAUGUUGCAUCAUUGCUUUUUCCAUCAACUUAGUUAAAUUUUCUGUCAAAAUUAAAGACAAAUUGGGAAAUUCAUAAAUAAAUAAAUAAAUAUAUAUCUCUCUCUCUCCUCCCCAACUCUGCGCUCUCCCACUUUCCCGACGAUUUCUUUUUCCUCCAUUCCCAUGACUACUACUUGCAAGCUCCAACCCUCAAACCUAUCCUAGAGCCACCUUUUACCCUAGCUUGCAACCCUAGCACCCACGAAUCCAGAACCCCAACCCCAAUCGCUUUUUUUGUUCCCGGGGGGGGGGGGGCGCGCGGUGGGAGGGGGAGAGGAGAGGAAGAGGAUGGGUUCUGUGUGUCUGGAGUAAGUGGCGAUUUUCUCAGCAUCCUCAUUUCUUGAAUUCCAAAGCUUGCUUGAAAUUUUGCAAGUUUGCAAAUUUACAAGGGCAAAUGGAUCUCAAAGCCGUGCAUGUCUUAAACAUUCCUAGUCUCCACGAAAUCACAGGUUGUCCAUUCUUCAUGCUUGGCUCAAGGUGAUAACCAUUCCAUCAAAUUGCUUUGAAUUAUAUAUAAUAGAAAAAGAAAAAAAAGAAAGUGGUUUUGAUCUUGAUCUUGUGUUUUGUGAAUAGGUCUGAAGGAUGAAGCUGAGGAGAGAGAGAGAGAGAGAGAAAGAGAAGAAAACCGCAAGGGGGAUGGGUUUUGUGUGUCUGGGUUUGUGUGAGAGAGAAAGAGAGAGAGAUGGAGAAAUUGAGGAAGAAGAAAAUGGCCGGAGAAAGGGAGAAGAAGAAAAUCGCAGAGAUGAGAUUUUUUUUUAAUGAAAAAAUUUGUUUGAAAAUACAUUUUUGCCCAUGCCAAAUAGAACUUGUCUAUGUCACGUCAUUAUUUUUAACUGAAAAAUUGACUGAGAUGAUGGAAAGGACAAUAUCUGAAAAUGGAGGCAUAAUUAAAGUACCACGGUAACAACAAAACAAUAAGAGGGAUGAAAAAUAAAGUUUGGUCUUAGUCUAGGACCAUUGCUACAAUUUAACCUAGUAAUUAUGACACUCAUAAAUCAUAAUUUAAAAUGUUAAUUUUAGUUAGAGAAAUAAAGUUAG
rnacentral:lncRNA from 1 species